rnacentral:lncRNA from 1 species
UUGGCCCCGCCCACACCGUCAAACGGGAGUCCCCUUGACUCGAACGCCCCUCCAGGCCCGCGAGACUCAGGCACGUUCUCGCGUUGUUGCGAAGGAAACGCCGCAUUCGGUAUUACCGGCGCCCCAACGCUAAGCUUUUACCUUAGUGUGUGCAGAGCGGAACCGACCAGGGGGCGGGGCAGAGACCCGCACGAGCCCCGGCUGAGAUCCCGCCUUCCAGACCCCGCCCAUUCGAGCUCGCCGUUUCCGGCCUACCCGGAAGUAGAUUUCCCGGAUGGAAGGGCUCCUAUUCUGUAGCGGGUUCAGCGUUUCGCGUUGCCGCUGGCACGUUGACGCCCUCGGCGUUGCGUCCUCCACACCGCAGUCCGGGGACUCGCGAACUGUACGAUCCCCACAUCGGCCAGUCCCGCCCGCGGGGAGCCCGGCCUGGUCGGGAGACGCUGUGCUGCCUCACUGGAUCCGCGUCUGUUUCCGGUUCCACUGAACACGUUGAUCUACAUCUUCUGUUUUUACUGGACUUUGUGGGCUUAUAAGUAAUUUCUACUUCUCCCUAUUCCCUUUUUUGAGUUUCCUCAGGUAAGUUUUUCAUUUUGUUUCUUUUCUUGAGGCAGGUGCUUAUGUCAUUUAUUUUAAUCUUUAAUUAUUUAAAUAUUUAAGAUUACAUUUUCUGUGAAUAUUGCUUUAGUUCCAUUGUUACUUUUAUAUGAUACAUUCAAAUAUUAGUUUCAUAAUGUACCUUUCAAAAAUAUAUGCUAAUUUUAUUUAAAAGAGAGACUUUCCACUUAAUUUUUAGUUGUCAUUUCAUGUCUUCUAUGGUUGCCACAUUUUCUGGUCUUACUGUGUAUAGGGACCUUGCAGAUUCCCUUUUUUAAAACUGAGGUUUUUCUCCAUCCUGGUCACAAGCCCUUUCUAUUCAGACACUACCGUGCACUGUAAAAGGAGAUCUUCUCUUUGAGAGCAUGACAGUUUCAUAUAUGAAAUUCUAGAAUAAUCAUAAACUUCCUUCUAUUUUCACCUUUUCUUAAUAGCUUUGGAUAUACUAGAUGUUAAAAAUUACAAAAGGUUGGAUUUUGAUUUGUGACCAAAUGAGAUGAUCGGUUUUCCCAUUUACAGUAUUAAUUUGAAAGGUAUAGUUGUUCUGAUUUUAUACUUCCUUCAUAUGUGAAGCUAUUGUACUCUGUGCCUUUGUUUUCCAGUCUGUGCAUUGCUAGAAGGUAACAGGCAAGAAGGCAAGACUUUCUUGGUUAACCUGUAACCCGCUCUCUCCCCACCACCUGGAGGCACUUGGCCCGUUGCUGGUGUUGGGGUUUGAGGGAGCUCACUUAAUAACAUCAUUUUUCCAGACCGCAGUUCUGAAAGAAAAGGAAAGACAGGUGAAUGGGUAUAGAUACCAGACAUUUUUAUUGACACAUCUGCUGGAGAACAGGGUUUUGGUAUGGAGAAAACAAAUAUUGCACCUCAGACCUCAGCAGCUGUGUCCCGAUAGCCUGGGAAGGGCUGGCAAGUCUUAAUGGCUAGCAGUGCUCUAAGAAAGAUGCAGAGGGGUUCUUCCCAGGGGCUCUUUAAGAGAUCACUGGGGAGGGGCUGAGCUGUGUAAUCACCCUUCCUAAAGUCACCAAAGAUGUGUCACUAUUCCUGGUUGGGUGGGAACUUGGUGGUUAGUACGGCUGUUAUGUGAAUAAAUGGGUAACUUGGAACUGUUAAAUAGGUUGUAUUGAUUCUAAAGUUUAUUAUAUAGCUACAUUGUAUGUAUGUAUGUAUGUUUAUUCAUUUUUGAGAGACAGAGCAUGAGCAGGGUAGGGGCAGAGAGGGAGACACAGAAUCUGAAGCGAGCUCUAGGCUCUGAGCUGUCAGCACAGAACCUGAUGUGGGGCUUGAACUCGUGAACUGUGAGAUCAUGACCUGAUCCAAGAUCGUGACCUGGGCCGAAAUCAGGAGAGCUGGAAGCUUAACCAACUGAGCCACUCAGGCGCCCCCCACACAAAUCUUCCCUAAAUCUAUCUCUUGUGAUAGUUGAGGAAGAGUUUACUUGGGUAUAAGAUUAAAGUCACAGUUGGUUCCCCUGAAGAUUGUGGGGCAUUCCCAUGAUCACAUUUUGUUCAGUGAAUGUCCUUUUAUACCUCAUUUGUCAGAUCAUUCUUCAUCUAUGAAUUACAGACUUGCUGGGGUUGGGGCUACUUUUAUUUUGUAUUGCUCUAUAUAUGUUUUUGCAAAAACUGCACUUUCACACACU